AACAGAUAAAGCCACACUUGUCGUAAGACAAGGUCGGAAAGCAAGAAUCUUAAUUCAAGAUCGUCCUUGCUGCCAAU
rnacentral:ncRNA from 1 species